UGAGUGAGUCUUCUGAGUAACCGAUUAAAUCAAUCAAAACUUUCAACAACGGAUCUCUUGGUUCUGGCAUCGAUGAAGAACGCAGCGAAAUGCGAUAAGUAAUGUGAAUUGCAGAAUUCAGUGAAUCAUCGAAUCUUUGAACGCACAUUGCGCCCGCCAGUAUUCUGGCGGGCAUGCCUGUUCGAGCGUCAUUACAUCCCUCAAGCCCCCGGGCUUGGUGUUGGGGAUCGGCGAGCCUCAGCGCCCGCCGUCCCCUAAAUUUAGUGGCGGUCACGCUGUAACUUCCUCUGCGUAGUAGCACACUUAGCACUGGGAAACAGCGCGGCCACGCCGUAAAACCCCCCAACUUUUGAACGUUUGACCUCGAAUCAGGUAGGACUACCCGCUGAACUUAAGCAUAUCAAUAAGGCG
rnacentral:rRNA from 1 species